AAUUAUAAUACUCAAUAUGCCAGUAUCAUCUCCAGCAUCACCAUCUGCUCACCACUGGGGACUCUCCUGGGGAGAGUUAGGAGAGUGAGAGAGGGGAGGGAGAGAGAGGGAGAGGAGAGGAAGAGAGAAGGGGAGUCUUGGAGAUGGUUUGGGGUGAGUCUGGGAUGGUCUGGAUACAUUGGGAAUGAGAGAGAGAGAGAGAGAGAGAGAGAGAGAGAGAGAGAGAGAGAGAGAGAGAGAGAGAGAGAGAGAGAGAGAGAGAGAGAGAGAGAGAGAGAGAGAGAGAGAGAGAGAGAGAGAGAGAGAGAGAGAGAGAGAGAGAGAGAGAGAGAGAGAGAGAGAGAGAGAGAGAGAGAGAGAGAGAGAGAGAGAGAGAGAGAGAGAGAGAGAGAGAGAGAGAGAGAGAGAGAGAGAGGCUGUGAAAGGCUGGAAGAGGCUGUGAGAAUUUGGGACAGUUUGGGGUGAGUCUGGAAUGGUCUGGAUACACUGGGAAUGAGAUAGAGUGAGAGAGAGGCUGUGAGUGGCUGUGAAUAGCUGGGAGAGGGUGUGAUAGGUUGUGAGAGGCUGAGAAAAGACAGUGAGAGGGUGGAGAAAAUAAUGGGAAACUGGAAAAAUGAAAAGGAGAGAUAGAAAGAGACACACAGGUAGACAGACACAC